rnacentral:rRNA from 1 species
CAGUCGCCGCGGUAAUACGUAGGUGGCAAGCGUUGUCCGGAUUUAUUGGGCGUAAAGCGAGCGCAGGCGGUUAGAUAAGUCUGAAGUUAAAGGCUGUGGCUUAACCAUAGUACGCUUUGGAAACUGUUUAACUUGAGUGCAAGAGGGGAGAGUGGAAUUCCAUGUGUAGCGGUGAAAUGCGUAGAUAUAUGGAGGAACACCGGUGGCGAAAGCGGCUCUCUGGCUUGUAACUGACGCUGAGGCUCGAAAGCGUGGGGAGCAAACAGGAUUAGAUACCCCUGUAGUCCCUGUCUCUUAUACA